rnacentral:rRNA from 1 species
AUUGAACGCUGGCGGCAUGCCUUACACAUGCAAGUCGAACGGUAACAGGCCGCAAGGUGCUGACGAGUGGCGAACGGGUGAGUAAUACAUCGGAACGUGCCCGAUCGUGGGGGAUAACGCAGCGAAAGCUGUGCUAAUACCGCAUACGAUCUACGGAUGAAAGCGGGGGAUCGCAAGACCUCGCGCGGACGGAGCGGCCGAUGGCGGAUUGGGUAGGUGGGGGGGUAAAGGCCUACCAAGCCGACGAUCUGGAGGUGGUCUGAGAGGACGGCCAGCCACACUGGGACUGAGACACGGCGCAGGCUCCUACGGGAGGCAGCAGUGGGGAAUUGUGGACAAUGGGCGCAAGCCUGAUCCAGCCAUGCCGCGUGCAGGAUGAAGGCCUUCGGGUUGUAAACUGCUUUUGUACGGAACGAAAAGGUUUCUUUUAAUACAGGGAACUGAUGACGGUACCGUAAGAAUAAGCACCGGCUAACUACGUGCCAGCAGCCGCGGUAAUAC